GUGGGGAAUAUUGGACAAUGGGCGAAAGCCUGAUCCAGCCAUGCCGCGUGUGUGAAGAAGGUCUUCGGAUUGUAAAGCACUUUAAGUUGGGAGGAAGGGCAGUAAGUUAAUACCUUGCUGUUUUGACGUUACCAACAGAAUAAGCACCGGCUAACUUCGUGCCAGCAGCCGCGGUAAUACGAAGGGUGCAAGCGUUAAUCGGAAUUACUGGGCGUAAAGCGCGCGUAGGUGGUUCAGCAAGUUGAAGGUGAAAUCCCCGGGCUCAACCUGGGAACUGCCUCCGAAACUACUGAGCUAGAGUACGGUAGAGGGUAGUGGAAUUUCCUGUGUAGCGGUGAAAUGCGUAGAUAUAGGAAGGAACACCUGUGGCGAAGGCGACUACCUGGACUGAUACUGACACUGAGGUGCGAAAGCGUGGGGAGCAAACAGGAUUAGAAACCCGGGUAGUCC
rnacentral:rRNA from 1 species